rnacentral:snRNA from 2 species
AAAAAGGGUCGGUUGGCUAAAUAUACCACGCUCACCCUCGUUCGGUAGGUGCUGUAUGGCUAUCAAGACAUAUGACCGACGUAAUUUGUGGAACCCUAAUGGGGUUGGCUCGCUUGGCAGACCCUUUAA